GCAGUAGGGAAUCUUCCACAAUGGGCGCAAGCCUGAUGGAGCAACACCGCGUGAGUGAAGAAGGGUUUCGGCUCGUAAAGCUCUGUUGUUAGAGAAGAACGUGCGUGAGAGCAACUGUUCACGCAGUGACGGUAUCUAACCAGAAAGUCACGGCUAACUACGUGCCAGCAGCCGCGGUAAUACGUAGGUGGCAAGCGUUAUCCGGAUUUAUUGGGCGUAAAGCGAGCGCAGGCGGUUUGAUAAGUCUGAUGUGAAAGCCUUUGGCUUAACCAAAGAAGUGCAUCGGAAACUGUCAGACUUGAGUGCAGAAGAGGACAGUGGAACUCCAUGUGUAGCGGUGGAAUGCGUAGAUAUAUGGAAGAACACCAGUGGCGAAGGCGGCUGUCUGGUCUGCAACUGACGCUGAGGCUCGAAAGCAUGGGUAGCGAACAGGAUUAGAUACCCUGGUAGUCCAUGCCGUAAACGAUGAGUGCUAGGUGUUGGAGGGUUUCCGCC
rnacentral:rRNA from 1 species